UUUAGAUGGCGACCGGCGCACGGGUGAGUAACACGUAUCCAACCUGCCGAUGACUCGGGGAUAGCCUUUCGAAAGAAAGAUUAAUACCCGAUGGCAUAGUUCUUCCGCAUGGUAGAACUAUUAAAGAAUUUCGGUCAUCGAUGGGGAUGCGUUCCAUUAGGUUGUUGGCGGGGUAACGGCCCGCCAAGCCUUCGAUGGAUAGGGGUUCUGAGAGGAAGGUCCCCCACAUUGGAACUGAGACACGGUCCAA
rnacentral:rRNA from 1 species